rnacentral:snRNA from 1 species
GUGCUCGCUUCGGCAGCACAUGUACUAAAAUUGGAAUGAUACAGAGAAGAUUAGCAUGGCCUCUGUGCAAGGAUGACAUGCAAAUUCGUGAAGCAUUCCAUAUUUUU